GUGAGGGUGGUUCAGUGGUAAAACUCUCGCCUUCCAUGCAGGAGGCCGGGGUUCGAUUCCUGGCCACCGUA
rnacentral:tRNA from 1 species